rnacentral:rRNA from 1 species
GGGUCCGCACAAGCGGUGGAGCAUGUGGUUUAAUUCGAUGAUACGCGAGGAACCUUACCUGGGCUAGAAUGCCUUUGCCAUUCCGGGAAACCGGAAGUUCCUUCGGGACGAAGUGCAAGGUGCUGCAUGGUUGUCGUCAGCUCGUGCCGUGAGGUGUUGGGUUAAGUCCCGCAACGAGCGCAACCCUUAUUCUUAGUUGCCAGCAUGUAAUGGUGGGGACUCUAAGAAGACUGCCUGCGCAAGCAGAGAGGAAGGAGGGGAUGACGUCAAAUCAUCAUGGCCCUUACGCCCAGGGCUACACACGUGCUACAAUGGCGCAUACAGAGGGUAGCUACCUGGUAACAGGAUGCCAAUCUCAAAAAGUGCGUCUCAGUUCGGAUCGAAGUCUGCAACUCGACUUCGUGAAGGUGGAAUCGCUAGUAA